AGGCCGGUAGCUAAGCUGGUUAAGGCGCUCGACUUUUAAUCGAGAAAUCGUCGGUUCGACUCCGACCCGGCCUA
rnacentral:tRNA from 1 species